CCUCACGGCGCCGGGAGCCCGGGCAGGAGCCGGGGCUGAGACCAAGCAGGAGGCAAGGCUGUAACAUGCAUCUCCAGGUCCAUGCUGGAGAGAAGACUACCCACAAUUUUGCUGCAGGGCCGGGCUCGUACGAUCCAAAGGCCAUUGAGAGGUCAGAAUACUUCAACCAACCCCCAUUUUGGUCGUCUGCCAAGAGAUUUGAUAGAAAGUCCUGCCGCCUCUUUGCUGGGAAUGAGAAUCCUGUAGGUGCUGGUCGCUACAACAUCACCAGACACGAGAAAUAUCCUUGCAAGAUCAGGUACCAGUCCCUGUACCAGUGUGAAACACGGCGGUACCUGAGUAACCUGGAGCGGGAUGCCUACUUGCUUGAGCGGCUCAAGCCUUCUAUCAAAAACAACUGGAAUGAUUUGAUUGCUGCUCCGCAUUGCCCAGAUACCUCUGAAGCAAUCACUGCUGUUUUCUGAACUUAAGAUGGUGCUGGAAAGCAGUGAAAACCAUGAAUAAGGAAAACUGCAAAUAAGUUGUGAACACACCAGUGGAUGAGUCUGCAUAGAUGAAAAUACUUACAACAUGGAAUAAAAUUCAAUACCAGGAAACA
rnacentral:lncRNA from 1 species